rnacentral:rRNA from 1 species
AUACGUAGGGGGCGAGCGUUGUCCGGAAUGAUUGGGCGUAAAGGGCGCGUAGGCGGCCCGGUAAGUCUGGAGUGAAAGUCCUGUUUUUAAGAUGGGAAUUGCUUUGGAUACUGUCGGGCUUGAGUGCAGGAGAGGUGAGUGGAAUUCCCAGUGUAGCGGUGAAAUGCGUAGAGAUUGGGAGGAACACCAGUGGCGAAGGCGACUUACUGGACUGUAACUGACGCUGAGGCGCGUAAGUGUGGGGAGCAAACAGGAUUAGAUACCCUGGUAGUCCACACUGUAAACGAUGAAUGCUAGGUGUAGGGGGUAUCGACCCCUUCUGUGCCGCAGUCAACACAAUAAGCAUUCCGCCUGGGGAGUACGACCGCAAGGUUGAAACUCAAAUGAAUUGGCGGGG